rnacentral:rRNA from 1 species
CGGGGUGAGUAAUGUAUGGGGAUCUGCCUGAUGGCGGGGGAUAACUACUGGAAACGGUAGCUAAUACCGCAUAAUGUCGCAAGACCAAAGAGGGGGACCUCCGGGCCUCGCGCCAUCAGAUGAACCCAUAUGGGAUUAGCUUGUAGGUAAGGUAACGGCUUACCUAGGCGACGAUCCCUAGCUGGUCUGAGAGGAUGAUCAGCCACACUGGGACUGAGACACGGCCCAG